AACGAACGCUGACGGCAUGCCUAACACGUGCAAGUCGAACGAAGCCUUCGGGCUUAGUGGCGCACGGGUGCGUAACGCGUGGGAAUCUGCCCCUUGCUUCGGAAUAACAGUUAGAAAUGACUGCUAAUACCGGAUGAAGUCUUCGGACCAAAGAUUUAUCGGCAAGGGAUGAGCCCGCGUAGGAUUAGGUAGUUGGUGGGGUAAAGGCCUACCAAGCCGACGAUCCUUAGCUGGUCUGAGAGGAUGAUCAGCCACACUGGGACUGAGACACGGCCCAGACUCCUACGGGAGGCAGCAGUGGGGAAUAUUGGACAAUGGACGCAAGUCUGAUCCAGCAAUGCCGCGUGAGUGAUGAAGGCCUUAGGGUUGUAAAGCUCUUUUACCAGGGAUGAUAAUGACAGUACCUGGAGAAUAAGCUCCGGCUAACUCCGUG
rnacentral:rRNA from 1 species